rnacentral:rRNA from 1 species
GACGAACGCUGGCGGCGUGCUUAACACAUGCAAGUCGAACGGUAAGGCUCCAGCUUGCUGGGGUACACGAGUGGCGAACGGGUGAGUAACACGUGGGUGACCUGCCCUGCACUUCGGGAUAAGCCUGGGAAACUGGGUCUAAUACCGGAUAGGACCAUGGUGUGGAUACUGUGGUGGAAAGUUUUUUCGGUGUGGGAUGGGCCCGCGGCCUAUCAGCUUGUUGGUGGGGUAUUGGCCUACCAAGGCGGCGACGGGUAGCCGGCCUGAGAGGGUGUACGGCCACAUUGGGACUGAGACACGGCCCAGACUCCUACGGGAGGCAGCAGUGGGGAAUAUUGCACAAUGGGCGGAAGCCUGAUGCAGCGACGCCGCGUGGGGGAUGACGGCCUUCGGGUUGUAAACUCCUUUCACCAUCGACGAAGGGUUUCUGACGGUAGAUGGAGAAGAAGCACCGGCUAACUACGUG